CGGUGUUUAACUGGCGUGAUGUGGGACGUCCUACCGGUGGGCUUAGCCUCGCGAGGGGCGGCCCAACUAAUAUCCCGUCGCGGUGCUCUUUACUGAGUGUCGAGUCGGGCCGGUACGUUUACUUUGAACAAAUUAGAGUGCUUAAAGCAGGCUAUCCUCGCCUGAAUACUGCGUGCAUGGAAUAAUGGAAUAGGACCUCGGUUCUAUUUUGUUGGUUUUCGGAACCCCGAGGUAAUGAUUAAUAGGGACAGAUGGGGGCAUUCGUAUUGCGACGUUAGAGGUGAAAUUCUUGGAUCGUCGCAAGACGGACAGAAGCGAAAGCAUUUGCCAAAAAUGUUUUCAUUAAUCAAGAACGAAAGUUAGAGGUUCGAAGGCGAUCAGAUACCGCCCUAGUUCUAACCAUAAACGAUGCCAGCUAGCGAUCCGCCGAAGUUCCUCCGAUGACUCGGCGGGCAGCUUCCGGGAAACCAAAGCUUUUGGGUUCCGGGGGAAGUAUGGUUGCAAAGCUGAAACUUAAAGGAAUUGACGGAAGGGCACCACCAGGAGUGGAGCCUGCGGCUUAAUUUGACUCAACACGGGAAACCUCACCAGGCCCAGACACCGGAAGGAUUGACAGAUUGAUAGCUCUUUCUUGAUUCGGUGGGUGGUGGUGCAUGGCCGUUCUUAGUUGGUGGAGCGAUUUGUCUGGUUAAUUCCGAUAACGAACGAGACUCUAGCCUGCUAAAUAGGCGUACCUUAUGGUAUCGCGAAGGCCCCCGGCCUCGGCCGGUGGGUUUUUACUACCAACGUACAAACAAAUCUUCUUAGAGGGACAGGCGG
rnacentral:rRNA from 1 species